GAUCAUGGCUCAGAUUGAACGCUGGCGGAAUGCUUUACACAUGCAAGUCGAACGGUAACAGGUCUUCGGAUGCUGACGAGUGGCGAACGGGUGAGUAAUAUAUCGGAACGUGCCCAGUCGUGGGGGAUAACGUAGCGAAAGUUACGCUAAUACCGCAUACGAUCCAAGGAUGAAAGCGGGGGACUCGCAAGAGCCUCGCGCGAUUGGAGCGGCCGAUAUCAGAUUAGGUAGUUGGUGGGGUAAAGGCUCACCAAGCCAACGAUCUGUAGCUGGUCUGAGAGGACGACCAGCCACACUGGAACUGAGACACGGUCCAGACUCCUACGGGAGGCAGCAGUGGGGAAUUUUGGACAAUGGACGCAAGUCUGAUCCAGCCACUCCGCGUGCAGGAUGAAGGCCCUCGGGUUGUAAACUGCUUUUGUACGGAACGAAAAGGUCUCUCUUAAUACGGGGGGCUCAUGACGGUACCGUAAGAAUAAGCACCGGCUAACUACGUG
rnacentral:rRNA from 1 species